GGGGCGUUAGCUCAGUUGGUUAGAGCAGAGGACUCAUAAUCCUUUGGUCGCUGGUUCGAGCCCAGCACGCCCUACCA
rnacentral:tRNA from 3 species